rnacentral:rRNA from 1 species
CCCUUAGAUGUCCUGGGCUGCACGCGCGCUACACUGAUGUGUCCAGUAAGCACCUAACCUCUUCCGAAAGGAACGGUUAACCUUUGCAAAGCACAUCGUGAUGGGGAUAGAUUAUUGCAAUUAUUAGUCUUGAACGAGGAAUUCCUAGUAAGCACAAGUCAUCAGCUUGUGUUGAUUACGUCCCUGCCCUUUGUACACACCGCCCGUCGCUCCUACCGAUUGAAUGUUCCGGUGAGCUCUUCGGACUGCGCGGUCUGCAGUUUCUGCGUUCCGUGCGGAAAGUUGCGCAAACCUUAACAUUUAGAGGAAGGAGAAGUCGUAACA